UACGGAAGGCAGCAGUGGGGAAUAUUGCACAAUGGGCGCAAGCCUGAUGCAGCCAUGCCGCGUGUAUGAAGAAGGCCUUCGGGUUGUAAAGUACUUUCAGUCGUGAGGAAGGUGUUAAGGUUAAUAACCUUAGCAAUUGACGUUAGCGACAGAAGAAGCACCGGCUAACUCCGUGCCAGCAGCCGCGGUAAUACGGAGGGUGCGAGCGUUAAUCGGAAUUACUGGGCGUAAAGGGCACGCAGGCGGUUAAUUAAGUUGGAUGUGAAAUCCCCGGGCUUAACCUGGGAAUGGCAUUCAAGACUGGUUAGCUAGAGUCUUGUAGAGGGGGUAGAAUUCCAUGUGUAGCGGUGAAAUGCGUAGAGAUGUGGAGGAAUACCGGUGGCGAAGGCGGCCCCUGGGACAAAGGACUGACGCUCAUGUGCGAAAGCGUGGGGAGCGAAACAGGGAUUAGAUACCCGGU
rnacentral:rRNA from 1 species